rnacentral:rRNA from 1 species
AUACGGAAGGUCCGGGCGUUAUCCGGAUUUAUUGGGUUUAAAGGGAGCGCAGGCGGAGAUGCAAGCGUGACGUCAAAUUUCGGGGCUCAACCCCGUCUCGCGUCGCGAACUGCGUCCCUUGGUUGCGGGAAGGGGAGGCGGAACUCGGGGUGUAGCGGGGAAAUGCAUAGAUAUCACGAAGAACUCCGAUCGCGAAGGCAGCCUUCCGGCCCGUCAACGACGCUCAUGCUCGAAGGUGCGGGUAUCAAACAGGAUUAGAUACCCUGGUAGUCCGCACAGUAAACGAUGGACACCCGCGGUUUGGCCUAUAUGGCUGAGCCGCCAAGCGAAAGCGUUAAGUGUCCCACCUGGGGAGUACGCCGGCAACGGUGAAACUCAAAUGAAUUGACGGGG